UGACCUGAUUCCUAUUCACAGUUCUGUUUUUUCUUUGUUUAUGUUUUGUCUGUUUUAUACUACUAUGAAUUCAAGACACUAUUUUUAUUUACUAUUACAAGGAUUGAAGACUUUUCUUUUUUUGUUUAUUGUUUAUGUUACUUACGGUUGCAGUGACAUGUAGAUGUAGUUCAGAUGCUAUAAACUAUUACUAGACUCAAGACAUUUUAUCCUAAUUCCUAAUAGAAUAUAUGUUGGACUUAGUUAUAAUGUUAGAUUCUUAGACUCAACACCAAACUGAACCCAACUUUCCGGGCUGCCGGGCUACCC
rnacentral:lncRNA from 1 species